rnacentral:rRNA from 1 species
AGUGAACGCUGGCGGUAGGCCUAACACAUGCAAGUCGAACGGCAGCACAGUAAGAGCUUGCUCUUACGGGUGGCGAGUGGCGGACGGGUGAGGAAUACAUCGGAAUCUACUUUUUCGUGGGGGAUAACGUAGGGAAACUUACGCUAAUACCGCAUACGACCUACGGGUGAAAGCAGGGGAUCUUCGGACCUUGCGCGAUUGAAUGAGCCGAUGUCGGAUUAGCUAGUUGGCGGGGUAAAGGCCCACCAAGGCGACGAUCCGUAGCUGGUCUGAGAGGAUGAGCCGAGAAACGGGAACUGAGACAAGGUCAAGAGUCCUACGGGAGGCAGCAGUGGGGAAUAUUGGGCAAUGGGCGAAAGUCGGAUGCAGCCAUACCGCGUGAGUGAAGAAGGCCUUCGGGUUGUAAAACCCUUUUAUUGGGGAAGAAAAAAAGAAGAAGAAUAUACGAAUGUUCUGACGGUACCCAAGGAAAAAGCACCGGCUAACUUCGUG